rnacentral:rRNA from 1 species
AGUGAACGCUGGCGGUAGGCCUAACACAUGCAAGCCGAACGGCAGCACAGUAAGAGCUUGCUCUUACGGGUGGCGAGUGGCGGACGGGUGAGGAAUACAUCGGAAUCUACUUUUUCGUGGGGGAUAACGUAGGGAAACUUACGCUGAUACCGCAUACGACCUACGGGUGAAAGCAGGGGAUCUUCGGACCUUGCGCGAUUGAAUGAGCCGAUGUCGGAUUAGCUAGUUGGCGGGGUAAAGGCCCACCAAGGCGACGAUCCGUAGCUGGUCUGAGAGGAUGAUCAGCCACACUGGAACUGAGACACGGUCCAGACUCCUACGGGAGGCAGCAGUGGGGAAUAUUGGACAAUGGGCGCAAGCCUGAUCCAGCCAUACCGCGUGGGUGAAGAAGGCCUUCGGGUUGUAAAGCCCUUUUGUUGGGAAAGAAAAGCAGCAGGUUAAUACCCCGCUGUUCUGACGGUACCCAAAGAAUAAGCACCGGCUAACUUCGUG